AAUAUUCAGAGCAGCAGAGGGAGGAGACUUGCAAACAGUCAGGAAUCUGAUCCAUCAAACUGGGCCAGAAAUCAGGAAAGCCAAGAGCCGUUGCACACUGCUGCAUGUUGCAGCUGCCAAUAACCACAUACAUAUUGUGAAGUUCUUGCUGAAGUACAUAAGUCCUAAUGUGACCAACAAGAACAAGCAAACCCCUGCUCAUUUGGCAGCCAUGGAAGGAUGCACAGACAUACUGAAAACCCUCCUGACUCAUCCCAGGAUCAUAACAGACAUGAAAGAUGUUUGGCAGAGGACAUACAAAGAUUGGGAUUCAAUGCUUCGAAUCGACCGAGCGGCAGCGGUUGUCCAAUAAUUUGUCAUCCAAGAAACAUUUACCCAGUAAAGUCCUUUUAUAUCCCCCAUGAUAUAACAAAAGUCUAAUCCUAAGUGACGGUAAUUUUUGUUAUAAAAUUAUGGGGGCAGGAACUAAGGAUUUUGAGUCUGUCGGGUAAAGUUGCAACCACCCAGUAUCCGGGUAAAAAGCAUUUCGUUUGUAAUAAUGCGGUAACUUCUGUUGGCAGGGUCUCUUUUCGAAGCUGUGAUGGCUAGCGAUGAGCACCAAACCAGAGAGCUUCUAGAACUGGGCGCCAAUCCACACAGCCAUGCGGGCAGCAGCCUAGUGUACUUCCCUGAAGAAGACUUAAACAUCACGACUGCUCAUCAAUUAGCCAUUUUCUUGGGUGAAAAGCCCAUCUUGGACAU